UUUAUCCAUUUUGAACAUAAAAAGGAUUUCAAACAUCAAAACAAAGACAUGGCAUAAUUUAAAUCACACAAACAAGUUCAUAAUGAUAUAAAAAGUUCAUGCCCACAAAAUCAUCCAACCAAGUUCAUGCCCACUAGUUCAAAUUCAUGCCCACAUCAAGCCUCGUCCUCGUCUUCAUCUUCAUCUUCAUCUUCCUCUUCCUCCGAUUCAUCAUCCGAAGCGGAUUCUUCCUCCUCCUCUUCAAGGGUGUUGGCAAGAUCAUGCGAAGGUGUUGGCACACCGAAAGACAUGCCGCCCAUGGCGCCCGGAGGUGCUCCCAUGCCUCCCAUGAGAGACGCAAAACUCGUACCUCCCAUGCCGCCAAUGCCACACGGAGGUGCUCCGAAGCCAUCCAUGCCUCCCAUGACGCCAAUGCCACCGCAUCCCAUGCCGCCAAUGCCGCCUGGAGGUGCUCCGAAGCCAUCCAUGCCGCCCAUGCCACCGCCACCCAUGCCGCCAACGCCGCCCGGAGGUGCUCCNNNN
rnacentral:lncRNA from 1 species